rnacentral:rRNA from 1 species
GGGGCGCAGCAGGCGCGAAACCUCCGCAAUGUGAGAAAUCGCGACGGGGGGAUCCCAAGUGCCAUUCUUAACGGGAUGGCUUUUCAUUAGUGUAAAGAGCUUUUGGAAUAAGAGCUGGGCAAGACCGGUGCCAGCCGCCGCGGUAACACCGGCAGCUCUAGUGGUAACAAUUUUUAUUGGGCCUAAAGCGUCCGUAGCCGGUUUAAUAAGUCUCUGGUGAAAUCCUGUAGCUUAACUGUGGGAAUUGCUGGAGAUACUAUUAGACUUGAGACCGGGAGAGGUUAGAGGUACUCCCAGGGUAGAGGUGAAAUUCUGUAAUCCUGGGAGGACCGCCUGUUGCGAAGGCGUCUAACUGGAACGGUUCUGACGGUGAGGGACGAAAGUUAGGGGCGCGAACCGGAUUAGAUACCCGGGUAGUCCUAACUGUAAACGAUGCGGACUUGGUGUUGGGGUGGCUUUGAGCUGUCUCAGUGCCGAAGGGAAGCUGUUAAGUCCGCCGCCUGGGAAGUACGGUCGCAAGACUGAAACUUAA